ensembl:lncRNA
GGGGUUUUUGCCGGAACAGCGAGAGAGAAAAAAAAUAGCCCCCAGUGACCUCCGAGGGCCAUCUGAGAUAAUAAAUCCAUGACCCUGAGUUCCGGAGUGCUUUGGGCAAGCCUCAUCUAGGCCUGGUGGAAUCUGUUGAAAAUGUGUGACAGCUGUGAAAGUUGGCUAGCUCCAGCCUGUGAAUGUAUAAGAUUUGGAUGCGAUUCAGGACCGAGGGGUGCAGGGUGAGGUGCGCUGAGGGAAGGAGGUAAGUGACGGUGGAGAGACUUGUGUUGUUAUGGUGAAGUUCACUUGCCUGCCUACCGUCUCUCUGUGUUUUGCUCCUCCUUUUCUUUGACUUUUCUUUGCUCCAGUGUAACCUUGUUCUUUUUUUUCAUCCAUGACUUUGAAGAGAACCAACUAAAAAGGGAGACAGAGUGGAUAGAUGCCACGACAAUAUUUAAUAAAGCAGGAUGUCAUCACUUUAAUCUAAAUAUACUGUGUUGCCAAACAACACAAUUCUAUGUAUCUGUUCUUGCUUUUGCAACAACAGCUAUAUAGGGGUCAGAUAAAAAUUGAGGGGCAUGUUCUGGGGGCCUCUGGAUGUCUGGAGUUUUGAUCUCCUCCAUACCUGCUUCAUGCCCUGGAGGACGGUGCUGUGGCCCCCCCCCACACCCUCUAGCAGAUCAUUACAUGAAGGAACCUUUUAAAAAACAAAAAACAAACGCGUCCAUGCUCACAGGUGUACACACGGGUGAUCACACCCACAAACUACACCCUUUUUGGCUCCUACCUCAAAGCACACUGUGUUCUGUUGAUCUUAUGUGCUGCACAAUAAUGUUUAAUAUUUAGUAUUUACUGUCAUAUUCCCAUAUAUCAUUGUGAUGUUGUUUAUUCUAUUACUCUUGUUCUCUUCUGCUUGUUUUCUUUUUUCUUUCUCAGCAGGUGACCCAGGUGAUUGAUAUAUGCAUUUUUUUUUCUUUUUUUCUUCUUCUUUUUUCUUUUUCUGCUCAUUCUGUUGGUUUUUGGUUUUUGCCCUUCUCCCCCGUCCCUCUUCUCAGCUGUUUCUCUUUCCCUCUUUCUUUCUCCCCUUCUUUCCCCCAGUCAAGUCUGUCCCAUAUUCAGUAAGUGAAAAUAAAAUAAACAAUAAAAGGUGAAUCAAAUGGACCAUUAUGGCAAGGCUGGGAUGGUCAAUUUGGUAAAGUAAAUCCGUUGGGCAUCUUUCUUUGCCUUUAGACAACAAUUCUGAUGGCAAAAGAGCCAAACGGGACAGGCAAAAAAAAAAUAAAAAAAAUUGAGGGGCAGAUGGCAGUGAAGUGGUGACUGGGGCCACUGCACCAGCCCCGCCCACUACCCUCUGGGUAAUGCACCUGCCUCCCAAGGCCCUGUGUGUGUGGUGAUAUGUUGUGAACUGUAAUGACUAGGGUGUUAUUAUAAAGGAGGGUCGGUGCAUGAAGUACAGCCAACAAAGCCACAUGAAUGGCCUUAGGCACUGUGACCUACGCAACAAAUGUUGCAGACAGCGUUGUCUGUGUCAAGCUUUGACAAGCGUAACCACACCUGAGACUGCUUUCAGCCUGCUACCACUGCCAUUGGCUUGUGUGUUUGUUGCUCCUCAGCAUGUUGCAGGAGUGCUGUCACACGUUGUCACUCUCAUCCAACCCAGAUGUACUUUGGCACCAUAAGUUGGC